rnacentral:lncRNA from 1 species
CAGUCAAUAUCAUUCAUAAUUCUUUCUGUGGUCUCCAACCAAUACUCAACCACAGUCAGAGUGACUCUAGUGAUGCCUCUAAAUGGUUCCGCUCUGUUGGACCAGAGUCAUUCAAUUACUAACUAACGACUCUCAAAUCCAGAAUGGGGUCCAUCGACCCUCUCUAAAACCCUCAACAUAGCUUAGGACAAUGCGCUGUCCCCAACCAUUUGAGUUUGAGACCCAGUCUCAACAGUAGGUGUCCCCGGUGUUUCACUCAUAUCCAAAUUGGGUAUGCUGCCCAUUGAUGACGGUUAACUUAGGCCCUUA